CUAGAGUGCGAUAGGGGUGACAGGAAUCCCAGUGUAGCGGUGAAAUGCGUAGAUAUUGGGAAGAACACCAGCGGCGAAAGCGUGUCACUGGGUCUGCACUGACACUGAGGGACGAAAGCUAGGGGAGCGAAAGGGAUUAGAUACCCCUGUAGUCCUAGCCGUAAACGAUGACAACUAGGUGUGGUUCGUAUCGACCCGAGCCGUGCCGUAGCCAACUCUUUAAGUUGUCCGCCUGGGGAGUACGCACGCAAGUGUGAAACUCAAAGGAAUUGACGGGGCCCGCACAAGCGGUGGAGUAUGUGGUUAAUUCGAUGCAACGCGAAGAACCUUACCAAGGCUUGACAUCCUCGGAAUCCUUGUGAAGCAGGAGUGCCUUCGGGACCGAGAGACAGUGGUGCAUGCUGUCGUCAGCUCGUGUCGUGAGAUGUUGGUGAGUCUGCAACGAGCGCACCACGUUUUAGUCCAUCAGGUAUGCUGGGACUCUAGAAACUGCCGUGACAACGAGAGGUGUGAUGACGUCAGUCGCAUGCCCUACGCUUGGCUACCCGUACUACAUGCGUGGA
rnacentral:rRNA from 1 species